ncrna:Schistosoma mansoni microRNA sma-mir-219 precursor
AAUCGAUUCAGUGAUUGUCCAUUCGCAUUUCUUGUUAGAUAAUAUGAAUUAUAUAUUAUCAGUACUAUGAUAAUAUUUAAUUUACAAGAGGUGUUGAUGGACAUCAUAUGAUCGAUU